rnacentral:tRNA from 1 species
GCAGGUGUAGCCAAGCGGCUAAGGCGAUCGGCUGCAGACCGAUUAUUCGUAGGUUCGAGUCCUACCACCUGCU